rnacentral:rRNA from 1 species
GACGAACGCUGGCGGCGUGCCUAAUACAUGCAAGUCGAGCGGACUGAUUAAGAGCUUGCUCUUAUGACGUUAGCGGCGGACGGGUGAGUAACACGUGGGCAACCUGCCCUGUAGAUCGGGAUAACACCGAGAAAUCGGUGCUAAUACCGGGUAAUAUCUGAGAUCACAUGAUCUUAGGUUAAAAGAUGGCUCCGGCUAUCACUACAGGAUGGGCCCGCGGCGCAUUAGCUAGUUGGUAAGGUAAUGGCUUACCAAGGCGACGAUGCGUAGCCGACCUGAGAGGGUGAUCGGCCACACUGGGACUGAGACACGGCCCAGACUCCUACGGGAGGCAGCAGUAGGGAAUCUUCCGCAAUGGACGAAAGUCUGACGGAGCAACGCCGCGUGAGGGAUGAAGGGUGUCGGCUCGUAAAGCUCUGUUGUUAGGGAAGAAACAGUACCGAACGAACUAGGUCGGUACCUUGACGGUACCUAACCAGAAAGCCACGGCUAACUACGU